rnacentral:rRNA from 1 species
AAUUUUUUAUAAUGGGGGAAACCCUGAUCCAGCCAUCCCGCGUGUAUGAUGAAGGCCUUCGGGUUGUAAAGUACUGUUGGCAGAGAAUAAAAGGUAUCUCCUAAUACGAGAUACUGCUGAUGGUAUCUGCAGAAUAAGCACCGGCUAACUACGUGCCAGCAGCCGCGGUACUACGUAGGGUGCAAGCGUUAAUCGGAAUUACUGGGCGUAAAGCGUGUGUAGGCGGUUCGGAAAGAAAGAUGUGACAUCCCAGAGCUCAACCUUGGAACUGCAUGUUUCACUGCCGGGCUAGAGUAUGUCAGUGGGGGGUAGAAUUACACGUGUAGCAGUGAAAUGCGUAGAUAUGUGGAGGAAUUCCGAUGGCGAAGGCAGCCCCCUGGGAUAAUACUGACGCUCAGACACGAAAGCGUGGGGAGCAAACA